ACGGAGAGUCUGCUAUUUGGAAAUAUGGGUUGGGUAAAUUGAUUAAGAAGAUGCAAAUUAGGAUGUGUAAGAGGCCAGAGGCCUCACAGUCUGUAUUGGAAAUCGGAAGGACUGCAGAGUGGCACAAUCCUGGCGCUGUAGGGGCCACAUGUUACUCACGUAGGAUGGGGAGAGACAGAAACACGCAAGAUUUCCUGUUUGCAUGUCACUUGCAGAAGAAUAUUCGAUACUGGCGGAUGUGAAGUUCGUAAUUGCAGCUCUUUUGGGAAUGUUUCUCUUGCUGGAGGGAUUCAUCGGAAGAUGGCGGAAACUAGAUGCCGUUACUAUUUCCUUCAUCCGCUCAUUGUGUAAAGUUGACGAGCUCGUUUCCGAGUCACUGGGUUAUUCUGCAGAUAACCUCUAACAAGUAGACUAAAUCCAGAGGAUGAUUUCAUAAGGUUUCCAUUGUAACGUAUUCAGGUCACGUGUUACUGUAGGUCAGUCCGCCUUUGGUAUCACUCGACAGCUUCCCUUAAAAUACAUCAGCAUGCAUCAUCGUCGAUGUCAUAAGAAACUAUUAUUUGGGGUACGUUUGUACAUUUUGUUUCUCAAUCCACAACCAUGAUAUAGUUUUUGUGUAUGUGUCUCUGAUACCUUUUAUCUUUACGUAAGAUCCUUAC